ensembl:snoRNA small nucleolar RNA SNORD66
CUCCUGUGAUGACCUUGUUUUUGUGCCACGUGUCUGGGCCACUGAUCAUUAGUGAUGGGUUGAGGAACUGAGGAG